UACACAUGCAAGUCGAACGGCAGCACGGGAGCAAUCCUGGUGGCGAGUGGCGAACGGGUGAGUAAUAUAUCGGAACGUGCCCAGUAAUGGGGGAUAGCCCGGCGAAAGCCGGAUUAAUACCGCAUACGACCUACGGGUGAAAGCGGGGGAUCGCAAGACCUCGCGUUAUUGGAGCGGCCGAUAUCAGAUUAGCUUGUUGGCGGGGUAAAAGCCCACCAAGGCGACGAUCUGUAGCUGGUCUGAGAGGACGACCAGCCACACUGGGACUGAGACACGGCCCAGACUCCUACGGGAGGCAGCAGUGGGGAAUUUUGGACAAUGGGCGCAAGCCUGAUCCAGCCAUGCCGCGUGUGGGAAGAAGGCCUUCGGGUUGUAAACCACUUUUGUCAGGGAAGAAACGGCCUUUACUAAUAUUAGGGGCUAAUGACGGUACCUGAAGAAUAAGCACCGGCUAACUACGUGCCAGCAGCCGCGGUAAUACGUAGGGUGCAAGCGUUAAUCGGAAUUACUGGGCGUAAAGCGUGCGCAGGCGGCUUUGCAAGACAGAUGUGAAAUCCCCGGGCUCAACCUGGGAACUGCAUUUGUGACUGCAUGGCUAGAGUACGGUAGAGGGGGAUGGAAUUCCGCGUGUAGCAGUGAAAUGCGUAGAUAUGCGGAGGAACACCGAUGGCGAAGGCAAUCCCCUGGACCUGUACUGACGCUCAUGCACGAAAGCGUGGGGG
rnacentral:rRNA from 1 species